rnacentral:rRNA from 1 species
UACAGAGGGUGCGAGCGUUAAUCGGAAUUACUGGGCGUAAAGGGCGCGUAGGCGGCGUGGUAAGUCACUUGUGAAAUCUCUGAGCUUAACUCAGAACGGCCAAGUGAUACUGCUGUGCUAGAGUGCAGAAGGGGCAAUCGGAAUUCUUGGUGUAGCGGUGAAAUGCGUAGAUAUCAAGAGGAACACCUGAGGUGAAGACGGGUUGCUGGGCUGACACUGACGCUGAGGCGCGAAAGCCAGGGGAGCAAACGGG